rnacentral:rRNA from 1 species
GUGAGGAAUAUUGGACAAUGGGCGAAAGCCUGAUCCAGCCAUGCCGCGUGCAGGAAGACGGUCCUAUGGAUUGUAAACUGCUUUUGCAGGAGAAGAAUAAGCUCGACGUGUCGAGCGAUGACGGUACUCUGCGAAUAAGCAUCGGCUAACUCCGUGCCAGCAGCCGCGGUAAUACGGAGGAUGCAAGCGUUAUCCGGAAUCAUUGGGUUUAAAGGGUCCGCAGGCGGGUUGUUAAGUCAGGGGUGAAAUCUUACAGCUCAACUGUAAAAUUGCCUUUGAUACUGGCAAUCUUGAAUCAUUGUGAAGUGGUUAGAAUGUGUAGUGUAGCGGUGAAAUGCUUAGAUAUUACACAGAAUACCGAUUGCGAAGGCAGAUCACUAACAAUGUAUUGACGCUCAGGGACGAAAGCGUGGGGAGCAAACAGGAUUAGAUACCCGAGUAGUCC